rnacentral:rRNA from 1 species
CGGCAACAGCUCAAAUUUGAAAUCUCCUUCGGGCGAGUUGUAAUUUGCAGAGGAUGAUUCGGAGUCGGCCCUGGUCUAAGUUCCUUGGAACAGGACGUCGCAGAGGGUGAGAAUCCCGUACGCGGCCGGGUGCCUUCUCCGUGUGAAUCUCCUUCGAC